AGAUUAUUUCAAUAAACUGUGGAAAUUCGACAUGAUUUGAAAAUGUAUAGUGGUUCUUAAAAUGGUAAAAACGGUAUAAAAAUUUGAAUAUUCAUUUUAUUUAAAUUUUAUUAACUAGUAAAAGCCUUGUAUAAAAUUUAUUAUAAAUGUUGUAUAUUUCUAAUAUUCAAUUGCAUUUUUAUUCUAUUUCUAAUCUUAAUCAUAAUUAUUUUAUAACUCAGUUCUCAAAUUAUUUAUUCUAUUAUUCAAAUCACAUCACUUUUAAAAAUGCUAUAAAUUAGAGGUCAUAGUCCUUAAUAUAGAUAUAACUAACUUGAUUGAAUAUAUCAAGUUACUAGAGAAAAUUUUAGUGUAUUUGAUGUUUUUCUUUCUUAAGAAACAGUACAUUUUCUAUUAAAUACCUUAUAGUCUAGGGAACUCGUUCAAAAUUACGCUGGUAAUGUUUGGAGGUAUCAUAUAAUUCUUUGAUUUAAAUCUUCUUGGGGGAGGAACUGUUGAUCUGAAGCCCAUUGCAUGAGCAAUACUUCUAAACUUUUUGGUAAAUUUAUCCUUCAAAUCUUGAAGUAAAAGAUCUGAAAAUUCUAUUGGAGAAGGCUCUGAAGAAGGAAGAAAUACAGGAAUAUCAAAGUUAUCACCGUUGUAAUCUGUGUAAUUAAUAUUGUGUGAAUGAGCAUUGACAAAGUUAGAUAGCCAUAGAAUAGUUGCAAAAAGUUUACUUUCUCCAGCUGUAGAAAAGCUGAAUCUUGUCUGAAGAUUCUCUGUCUGGUAUUUUGAUAAAAAUGAAUCAAUAAUCCAAUUGCAAAAUUCUAUUGGAAUUCUUAAAUUACUCUGAUAUUUUGAAUUCUGAUUGUUUGUUUGAGAAUCUAAAGAUGCUUGUAAACAUUUCUGAAUUGCUCUAGCUCCACCAAAUGAUUUAUUUGAAUGAUUAAUCAGAUAUAUAAGCCAAUCAAUGUAAAUUAUAAGCUUUAAAAAGAAUGAUUUAACUUUUAUGUUCAAAAUUGAAGAAUUAUUCAAAUUAUUUAAUAAUAUCCUUGAAAAGUGACUUAAUUGACCACUAUAUAUGCUAACUGUACUUUUUGUCCAUUCCAUCUUAAUUUUAUUGAAUAACUCUAUAGAUAUGAAAUUCUCUAGUUUAUAUAUCUGAUUCAAUGGUAACUUGGAAUCAAACUUUGGUAAAACUGUUAAUGUAUUCUGUUCUUGCUUCUUUUCUAGUUUAAUCAAAUGAAGAACUUGCGGAUCUUUCGAAUUUUCUGUCUUUAAUUCAUUUGGUUCAUGCUUAAUUUUUAGAUUCUCAAAGUUAGAGAACUGUGCUUUUAAGUUCUUUUCUCCAGAAUAUCCAAUAAUAUCCAACUGUAGUCUAGACGAAUUAUUAACAUUUUGUUUAUUU
rnacentral:antisense_RNA from 1 species